rnacentral:rRNA from 1 species
CAUUUCCUCUUGUUUUGAGUAAGAGGUAUAGUCUGCCCACUGAGAGUUUGAAGGGCCGCAGUAUUUUGACUGUGCAAAGGUAGCAUAAUCAUUAGUCUUUUAAUUGAAGGCUGGGAUGAAGGGCUGCACAUAAUAAAAGCUGUCUCAUUUAAAUAAGUAAAUUUAACCUUUAAGUGAAAAGGCUUAAAUUAAUUAAGGGGACGAGAAGACCCUAUAGAGCUUUAUUGAAGUUUUAUUAGUAAUUUUAUAUGAUAUUUAAUAUAAGUAAAUUUUAAUUUUAUUGGGGAGAUAAGAAAAUAAAAAAUCUUUUCUUUUUAAAACUAUGAUAAAAGGUUAUAUGAUCCUUUUAUAAAGAUUACAAGAUUAAGUUACCUUAGGGAUAACAGCGUGAUUUUUCUGGAGAGUUCUUAUCGAUAGAAGAGUUUGCGACCUCGAUGUUGGACUAAGAAUAGAAUUAGGGGCAGCCCCUUAAAAUUCUAGGUCUGUUCGACCUUUAAAUUCUUACAUGAU